rnacentral:rRNA from 1 species
AUUGAACGCUGGCGGCAUGCCUUACACAUGCAAGUCGAACGGCAGCACGGGUGCUUGCACCUGGUGGCGAGUGGCGAACGGGUGAGUAAUACAUCGGAACAUGUCCUGUAGUGGGGGAUAGCCCGGCGAAAGCCGGAUUAAUACCGCAUACGAUCUACGGAUGAAAGCGGGGGACCUUCGGGCCUCGCGAUAUAGGGUUGGCCGAUGGCUGAUUAGCUAGUUGGUGGGGUAAAGGCCUACCAAGGCGACGAUCAGUAGCUGGUCUGAGAGGACGACCAGCCACACUGGGACUGAGACACGGCCCAGACUCCUACGGGAGGCAGCAGUGGGGAAUUUUGGACAAUGGGCGAAAGCCUGAUCCAGCAAUGCCGCGUGUGUGAAGAAGGCCUUCGGGUUGUAAAGCACUUUUGUCCGGAAAGAAAUCCUUGGCUCUAAUACAGUCGGGGGAUGACGGUACCGGAAGAAUAAGCACCGGCUAACUACGUG